CUGAUUGUCCAAACGCAAUUCUUGUGUCUG
rnacentral:miRNA from 1 species